rnacentral:rRNA from 1 species
UGGGGAAUAUUGCACAAUGGGCGCAAGCCUGAUGCAGCCAUGCCGCGUGUAUGAAGAAGGCCUUCGGGUUGUAAAGUACUUUCAGCGAGGAGGAAGGCGGUAAGGUUAAUAACCUUAUCGAUUGACGUUACUCGCAGAAGAAGCACCGGCUAACUCCGUGCCAGCAGCCGCGGUAAUACGGAGGGUGCAAGCGUUAAUCGGAAUUACUGGGCGUAAAGCGCACGCAGGCGGUCUGUCAAGUCGGAUGUGAAAUCCCCGGACUCAACCUGGGAACUGCAUUCGAAACUGGCAGGCUAGAGUCUUGUAGAGGGGGGUAGAAUUCCAGGUGUAGCGGUGAAAUGCGUAGAGAUCUGGAGGAAUACCGGUGGCGAAGGCGGCCCCCUGGACAAAGACUGACGCUCAGGUGCGAAAGCGUGGGGAGCAAACA